rnacentral:rRNA from 1 species
AGAAUGACUCUCGGCAACGGAUAUCUCGGCUCUCGCAUCGAUGAAGAACGUAGCGAAAUGCGAUACUUGGUGUGAAUUGCAGAAUCCCGUGAACCAUCGAGUCUUUGAACGCAAGUUGCGCCCCAAGCCUUCGGGCCGAGGGCACGUCUGCCUGGGUGUCACGC